rnacentral:rRNA from 1 species
GAUGAACGCUGGCGGCGUGCCUAAUACAUGCAAGUCGAGCGAACCCUUCGGGGUGAGCGGCGGACGGGUGAGUAACGCGUGGAUAACCUGCCCUAUACACACGGAUAACGUACCGAAAGGUACGCUAAUACGGGAUAAAGUUGUUGGAUGGCAUCUUCUAACAAUCAAAGCUCCGGCGGUAUAGGAUGGACCCGCGUCUGAUUAGCUAGUUGGUGAGGUAAUGGCUCACCAAGGCGACGAUCAGUAGCCGACCUGAGAGGGUGAUCGGCCACACUGGAACUGAGACACGGUCCAGACUCCUACGGGAGGCAGCAGUGGGGAAUAUUGCACAACGGGCGAAAGCCUGAUGCAGCAACGCCGCGUGAGCGAUGAAGGUCUUCGGAUCGUAAAGCUCUGUCCUCAAGGAAGAUAAUGACGGUACUUGAGGAGGAAGCCCCGGCUAACUACGUGCCAGCCGCCGCGGUAA